rnacentral:rRNA from 1 species
UACGUAGGGUGCGAGCGUUGUCCGGAAUUAUUGGGCGUAAAGAGCUUGUAGGCGGUCUGUCGCGUCUGCUGUGAAAAUCCGGGGCUCAACCCCGGACUUGCAGUGGGUACGGGCAGACUAGAGUGUGGUAGGGGAGACUGGAAUUCCUGGUGUAGCGGUGAAAUGCGCAGAUAUCAGGAGGAACACCGAUGGCGAAGGCAGCUCGCUGGGACGGUACUGACGCUGAGGCGCGAAGGCCAGGGGAGCAAACGGG